GCCUAGACCUAGGCCUUCUAUUUUUAUUUAUAUUUUUUUAAUAUUCAGCGCUUUUUCACAUGAAAAGACCCCAGUCUUUUCAUGUGAAAAAGCGCUGAAUAUUAAAAUGUAAAUAAAAAUAGAAGGCCUAGGUCUAGGC